rnacentral:rRNA from 1 species
AUUGAACGCUGGCGGCAGGCCUAUCACAUGCCAGUCGAGCGGAUGAAGGGAGCUUGCUCCUGGAUUCAGCGGCGGACGGGUGAGUAAUGCCUAGGAAUCUGCCUGGUAGUGGGGGAUAACGUCCGGAAACGGGCGCUAAUACCGCAUACGUCCUGAGGGAGAAAGUGGGGGAUCUUCGGACCUCACGCUAUCAGAUGAGCCUAGGUCGGAUUAGCUAGUUGGUGGGGUAAAGGCCUACCAAGGCGACGAUCCGUAACUGGUCUGAGAGGAUGAUCAGUCACACUGGAACUGAGACACGGUCCAGACUCCUACGGGAGGCAGCAGUGGGGAAUAUUGGACAAUGGGCGAAAGCCUGAUCCAGCCAUGCCGCGUGUGUGAAGAAGGUCUUCGGAUUGUAAAGCACUUUAAGUUGGGAGGAAGGGCAGUAAGUUAAUACCUUGCUGUUUUGACGUUACCAACAGAAUAAGCACCGGCUAACUUCGUG